CUCUUAAAAAUUGCUAUCUUCACAAAUGACCUCAAUUAAGUUUGCCCUAAAGCAGUGGCUUACAACAACAUUUCUCAUUUUUCACAGGUCAUCACCCAGAGUUAACCAGUUAGGAAGGAUUACACAUCUGGAACUGCUGUAUCCAUUCACCACUGGCCUGAGGAUGGAGCUUAUCCAUGGAGAAGCACAGAGUGGUCUGGAAGAGGCACAGGGAAGUGGAGGUAGCCAAAGGCUGGCGUACAAUGGCCUCAUUCAUAAUGUGAGUAGGCCUCAUUCAAUCAGUAUACAAUGGUGCGAUCUCGGCUCACAAAAACCUCUGUCUCCUUGGAUCAAGCGAUUCUCCUGCCUCAGCCUCCCAAGAAGCUGGGAUUACAGGUAUGCACCACCAUGUCCCGGAUAA
rnacentral:lncRNA from 1 species